rnacentral:sRNA from 1 species
GCUGGGUGCGGUGGCUCACGCCUGUAAUCCCAGAACUUUGGGAGGCCGAGGCGGGUGGAUCACCUGAGGUCAGGAGUUCGAGACCAGCCUGACCAACAUGGUGAAACCCCGUCUCUAUUAAAAAUACAAAAAACUAGCUGGGGCCAGUCGCGGUGUAAUCCCAGUACUUUGGGAGGCCAAGGUGGGUGGAUCACUUGAGGUCAGGAGUUUAAGACCAGCCUGGCCAAAAUGGUGAAACCCUGUCUCU